UACGAGAGGCCCAAACGUUAUUCGGAAUCACUGGGCUUAAAGAGUUCGUAGGCGGCGCGGAAAGUGGGGUGUGAAAGCCCUCGGCUCAACCGAGGAAUUGCGCUCCAAACUGCCGUGCUUGAGGAGGCUAGAGGUAAGCGGAACUGAUGGUGGAGCGGUGAAAUGCGUUGAUAUCAUCAGGAACACCGGAGGCGAAGGCGGCUUACUGGGGCCUUUCUGACGCUGAGGAACGAAAGCUAGGGGAGCAAACGGGAUUAGAAACCCCCGUAGUCC
rnacentral:rRNA from 1 species